ensembl:lncRNA
CCCCAGUGGGGGAAGGUUCUCUGCUUAAAGCUCUCUUCUCUGGGGGAUUUUUAUGGUGAACCUAGAUCCUUGAAGAUGGGAGCUUGAUCCAAGGCCUGCAGGAGCUGGUGGAAAUCUCCCAGCCGAUGUGAUGUUGCACUAAGCUAGCCAUUUGCAUGAAUUUCAAUGGUAGCCACAAAUGAAUGCUGGGGAAUGCCACAGGUUGGAUGACUAGAUACUCCAAGACCUACCAUAGAUGCUGGCUGUCACUAAUGUCCAAGGCAGAUAAACUCAACAUGAUUUAGACUGGAACUUCUGCAUCUCAAAAAUGCAUGCAUUCAUUAUUACUAUUACAAGCACCUCUGUCUUCAGUCUGACUUGAACCAUAUGCCUCUCUCCAAUUUAUAGGAGGGAGAGGAGGUUCUUUUGAAAUAUGUAUACCUGGCAUGAGAUUAAGAAACAACGGUUCAAAUGUUUGUUCGACCAGUUUAUUACAAAUGUUAAUAGGGA